CCUACGGGAGGCAGCAGUAGGGAAUUUUCGGCAAUGGGGGGAACCCUGACCGAGCAACGCCGCGUGAACGAAGAAGUUAUUCGUAAUGUAAAGUUCUUUUAACAGGGAAGAAAGAGAAAUUUGACGGUACCUGAAGAAUAAGCUCCGGCUAACUACGUGCCAGCAGCCGCGGUAAUACGUAGGGAGCGAGCGUUAUCGGGAAUUAUUGGGCGAAAAGGGUGCGUAGAUGGCAUAGUAAGUCUUUUGGAAAAAUGCUGGGCUCAACCCAGUAGGGCAAAAGAUACUGCAAAGCUAGAGUAUGACAGAGGCAAGUGGAACUACAUGUGUAGCGGUAAAAUGCGUAAAGAUAUGUAAGAACACCAGUGGCGAAGGCGGCUUGCUGGGUCGAUACUGACAUUGAGGCACGAAAGCGUGGGGAGCAAACAGGAUUAGAUACCCUAGUAGUC
rnacentral:rRNA from 1 species